rnacentral:lncRNA from 1 species
GGCAGGUGUUGAGUUGGGACCCCAUGUGCCAUAUUGCUUGUCUGUCAGGUUCCUUCUACCUCUGAGAUUUAAUUGAGUUUCUUCAUUUACCUAUCCUCUGUAGUUGUGGUUGGUUUGUUAUUUGACCCAAGAAACUGGAUUUUUUUUUUCCUAUGCCUGUGGAUGUUUUGCCUGCAUGUAUAUCUGUGCACCACAUAUGGUGCCUUUGGAGGUCAAAAGAGGGCAUCCGAUCUCCUGGAAUCUCCUGGAGUUACAGACAGUUGUGAGCUACCCUUUUGAUGCUGGGGCUUCAAAAAGGUUAACUUCUGAGCCAUCUCUUCAACCCUCUGCUCUCAUCUUAAAGAGCAGCCUUCGAAUGUUUAAAAAUACUAGAUUAUCUUCAGUGAAAAACACACAUCCAAUUUAUGAAUAAGGAAGUGUCGAUAGAUGGCUAUAUUGAGGUCAGAAGUGUUCUGUUAGGCAUUGGUGAUUGUUGGUCCAUUCUGCAUCAUUUGUGUGCUUUCAUAAGCUGAAACACUGGGGACAGCUUGGUGGCUUCAGUAGAGGAAUAUGCCAUCAGAAAGACCAGUGUUCUUUACUGAUGUCAUGGGCUGGCUACUUAGCUGGGAGGCUGGCAGCCUAGCCCUCCUUUUUUCCUGGAGGGAACGUACCUCAGCAGUGCUUGUGAAUGUUUGUGUCCUGUGAGCCAGCUGUGUCAGCUUGAAACAAAAGAAUGACACUACACUUCCCUCUCCGCUCUUUUUAUUAUGUAAAGUACAUUCCUUCCUAGCUUCUUGUUUUGGGGCUUUACAGAAAUUACAGGCCAGGUGCCCCCUUGACACUGUUUAAGGGUUCUGAUCUCUUGCUUGCUUUUUAAGAGAGGUGACUGAAGUGUGGCAUCUUGUCUUCCUGUGGCGCUUCUGCUCUGAUUCUUGGUUUAUGUGUUGGCAUUCAUUCCUCAGUGGCAAGACUUGCGUUUCCUGAUGUAUGUAUUUGGUGGGAAGGGUCGAGUUACUGUCAUACGUGAGAGCAAGUUAGGGUAGAGUUUUCUUAGUUCUGUCUUGAGACAUCUGUGGUCGGUAGGAAGCAUCUCUGUAGUACAUGUUUAUAAUAUGGGAGAGCUUUUGAGGAAGCCUUUCUGCGGUCUGUAAUCUAAACACCCGCUGAAUCUCUAGUGUCCCCCAUUGGCAGAUAAAAGGCUGCUGCAUCUGUGCGUUAUCCAGAAC